UGGGAACGUGCCCUUUGGUUCGGAACAACUCCGGGAAACUGGAGCUAAUACCGGAUAAGCCCUUCGGGGGAAAGAUUUAUCGCCGAGAGAUCGGCCCGCGUCUGAUUAGCUAGUUGGUGAGGUAACGGCUCACCAAGGCGACGAUCAGUAGCUGGUCUGAGAGGAUGAUCAGCCACAUUGGGACUGAGACACGGCCCAAACUCCUACGGGAGCAG
rnacentral:rRNA from 1 species